rfam:Stomoxys calcitrans breed 8C7A2A5H3J4 unplaced genomic scaffold Scaffold2110, whole genome shotgun sequence.
CACAACUAUUUAUGAUGAUUUAUUUAGUAGGAAUCUCAUUGAUUUAAAACCAUGAAAAUAAUUUUACCAAAACUGAUGGAAUUACA